AAGCAUAUAAUUAAGCGGAGGAAAAGAAACUAACCAGGAUUCCCCUAGUAAGGGCGACUGAAGCGGGAAGAGCUCAUAAUGUGAAUCUGCGCGUACGCGCCGAAUUGUGGUCUGUAGAAGCAUGUGUUUGGCACGCCGGGUCAAGUCCCUUGGAAAAGGGCAGCACAGAGGGUGAGACUCCCGUGAUUGCCUGGGCUGUGGCCAUUUGACACUAGCUUUCGACGAGUCGAGUUGUUUGGGAUUGCAGCUCAAAUUUGGUGGUAAAUUCCAUCUAAAGCUAAAUACGGGUGGGAGACCGAUAGCGUACAAGUACCGUGAGGGAAAGAUGCAAAGAACUUUGAAAAGAGAGUUAAAGAGUACCUGAAAUUGCUGAAAGGGAAGCGAAGGAAACCAGUGCUUUGCUUUGUCAUACUUCCCCUCCCGCUUGCGGGUGGGGCGCUGUGGCUUUGCAUUAGUCAAUGUUGGUUGGUCCCGGCAGAUACCUGGUCUCGGGAGGUAGGUCCACUCGUUGGUCCGAUACCGUGGCCGCGUGUGCUGGGAAAGACCGACGAUGACGAAAUGGUUUUCUUUACCCCGUCUUGAA
rnacentral:rRNA from 1 species